rnacentral:rRNA from 1 species
UACAGAGGGUGCGAGCGUUGUCCGGAAUUACUGGGCGUAAAGCGUGCGCAGGCGGUCUGUUAAGACCGAUGUGAAAUCCCCGGGCUUAACCUGGGAACUGCAUUGGUGACUGGCAGGCUUUGAGUGUGGCAGAGGGAGGUAGAAUUCCACGUGUAGCAGUGAAAUGCGUAGAGAUGUGGAGGAAUACCGAUGGCGAAGGCAGCCUCCUGGGCCAACACUGACGCUCAUGCACGAAAGCGUGGGGAGCAAACAGG